GUGUCAGCAGCCGCGGUAACACGUACUGUGCGAACGUUAUUCGGAAUCACUGGGCUUAAAGGGUGCGUAGGCGGCGAUUCAAGUCAGAUGUGAAAUGCCUGAGCUCAACUGAGGCAUUGCGUUUGAAACUGAAUUGCUAGAGUAUCCUAGGGGUGUGCGGAACUGCCAGUGGAACGGUGAAAUGUGUUGAUAUUGGCAGGAACACCGGAGGCGAAAGCGGCACACUGGGGGAUAACUGACGCUGAGGCACGAAAGCCAAGGGAGCGAACGGGAUUAGAAACCCGGGUAGUCC
rnacentral:rRNA from 1 species